rnacentral:rRNA from 1 species
AAAGAGGGAUGCAAGCGUUAUCCGGAAUUAUUGGGGCCCUAAGAGAUUGUAGGCGGGCGAGUGUGUUUAAUGUUAAAUCUUAAAGCUCAACUUUGAAAUUGCGUUAAAAACUGCUUGUCUUGAGUAUGGUAGGGGUAAAGGGAAUUCCCAGAGUAGCGGAGAAAUGCGUAGAUAUUGGGAAGAACACUAAACAGCGAAGGCACUUUACUAGGCUAAUACUGACGCUGAAAAACGAAAGGUAAGGUAGCGAAACGGAUUAGAUACCCGUGUAGUCUUACCCGUAAACUAUGGACACUAAACGGUAAAUUUUUAAUUUACUGUUAAAGCUAACGCGUUAAGUGUCCCGCCUGGGGAGAAUGCUUGCAAAAGAGAAACUCAAAGGAAUUGACGGGGGCCCGCACAAGCGGUGGAGCAUGUGGUUUAAUUCGACGGUACACGAAGAACCUUACCAGGAUUUGACAUGCUGGAUAGUUGCUUGAAAGAGUAACGUGCCGUAAGGAAUCUAGACACAGGUGGUGCAUGGCUGUCGUCAGUUCGUGUUGUGAAAUGUUGGGAUAAGUCCCGCAACGAACGCAACCCUUGUCUUUAGUUAUUUUCUAAAGAGACUGCCUGUAAUAAACAGGAGGAAGGUAAGGAUGAGGUCAAGUCAUCAUGCCCCUUAUGUCCUGGGCUACACACGUGCUACAAUGGGAAAGACAAUGAGCUGCAAAUCUGUAAAUUUAAGCAAAUCUCUUAAACUUUCUCGUAGUUCGGAUUGUGGGCUGCAACUCGCCCACAUGAAGUUGGAAUCGAUAGUAAUCGCCAGUCAAGCUAU